rnacentral:lncRNA from 1 species
UUCCCACUUAGUGCUUCUCGCCGCGGUACCUUCCCGCUCCGGCGGCAGCGGCUCUCCGAGGAGGAGCAGGGACCGGGACUGGCAGGGGCUGAGCAGCUGAUGCCUUCAUCCAGAGAAAUGGAGCCAUUUUGGGAGCACCAGCACAUCUCCACACUCACCAAGGGGACACUUCCAGCACAGCUCAGAGCAUCCUCAGGCAGCUUCUGUGCUGCAGUGGUGGAAUCUCCUCUUUAAUGGCACCAGGAAGAAGCAGCAGGAAAUGCAGAGUGAAAUUCUUCCACACAAGCUGCUGCCAGACCAUCGCCCACUGUGCCUGGAGAGUCCCUGCAUCCUCAGAUACAGAGCACAGAAUAAACCGUGACCCUGGGGAUGUCUGCAGGUUCCUGGGUUGCUGUUUGUGCUGUUUGUGGAUCCUGCUGUAAGAUUCCUCAGAGGGGCUGGCAUUGGCAGCUGCAUCAUCGUGGUGCCUUGAGAAAGCGCUUCUGCACAGCAUUUCUCAUAACCAGGACUGAGAACAGAGGCUCACACUGUACAAAUCCACACCCUUCACCUCCUUUCCCCAGAGAGACUCCAAACCACACGAGCAGGAGGCACAGCAGCUCCUUGACUUCAGCUAAUUGCCAUGUUCCCUCGAAGGAGGAGUGA